rnacentral:rRNA from 1 species
AGUAGCUUGCUACUUUGCCGGCGAGCGGCGGACGGGUGAGUAAUGUCUGGGAAACUGCCCGAUGGAGGGGGAUAACUACUGGAAACGGUAGCUAAUACCGCAUGAUGUCGCAAGACCAAAGUGGGGGACCUUCGGGCCUCACGCCAUCGGAUGUGCCCAGAUGGGAUUAGCUAGUAGGUGAGGUAAUGGCUCACCUAGGCGACGAUCCCUAGCUGGUCUGAGAGGAUGACCAGCCACACUGGAACUGAGACACGGUCCAGACUCCUACGGGAGGCAGCAGUGGGGAAUAUUGCACAAUGGGCGCAAGCCCGAUGCAGCCAUGCCGCGUGUGUGAAGAAGGCCUUAGGGUUGUAAAGCACUUUCAGCGAGGAGGAAGGCGUUGUAGUUAAUAGCUGCAACGAUUGACGUUACUCGCAGAAGAAGCACCGGCUAACUCCGUGCCAGCAGCCGCGGUAAUACGGAGGGUGCAAGCGUUAAUCGGAAUUACUGGGCGUAAAGCGCACGCAGGCGGUUUGUUAAGUCAGAUGUGAAAUCCCCGAGCUUAACUUGGGAACUGCAUUUGAAACUGGCAAGCUAGAGUCUUGUAGAGGGGGGUAGAAUUCCAGGUGUAGCGGUGAAAUGCGUAGAGAUCUGGAGGAAUACCGGUGGCGAAGGCGGCCCCCUGGACAAAGACUGAC